CCCAGCCUGGCUGCCUGCUGUAGCACUGAAGUUGCCCACAAUCAAGGUGAAUGUAAGAUUACUACUAACUAUUUCAUUGGGUGAUACGCAAUGUGGUCCUGUUACUUCUCAGUGUGAGCACUUUGUGCACAAGUUAUAGCAUGUGUUCUGGUUUCAGACACUGAGGCCUUACUGCUUAGUGCAUCACCCAAGGCUACACGUAGGUAACCUUUUCUGCAGUGCAAAAGCUGCUUAAUUGACACAGUAGGGCCCAGCUGUGCCUGUAAUUAGUUUAAAAGUUGUGCCACCUGUGUGCUGGUUGCCUCUCUUUUUGGAUCUGCUUGGUGGUCAGCAGUUGCUGCUUCUUCUAGAUCAUCAGGAGCAGUUUCCAAGGAGACUACCUCCUUGUGGGUUGAAUCUUCAGCAGGUGCAUAUUAGCUCAUUUCCAGCGAAGUCUGCAGGGUACUUAAGCUGAUACGUGUGCCAGUCACUCAGUCCAGGUGUUGUGUUGAGCGCCGUUAUAGCUGAUGGCUUUGGAAGUGCUGCUGUCAUUUGACACAAAUCUGUCCAACUUGCCAGUGCUCUUAGCCACCAAGAAGCACCAGGCUGCUGGAGGGAGCUCAGAAGAUAGUACAUGGUGCUGAUGUGACUGCAGAUUGGUUCAGAGCAGCUAUAAAGCCUGUACCAGCUGUGUCUCAGCAGAAAAUCAACUUCUCUCUUGCCUGACCUUUUCUCACCUGCUUCCCAUUUUAUCCUCUCGUGGAUGCAGCUUUCUCUGCAGGAAAAAGAAGGAAAUGAAGAGAUUUCAAUAUUUCCGUACAUGGUCUAGAAUGAUGUGUGUCCUUUCUUCUCAGAACAUCCAUUAGUACGCUUUUGAGAGGAAGGUGAGACAUGCUGGUGAACACAAGUGAAAAGUGAUCUGCUUUUGCUGCUUCCACAGAGCUGUUAUCUGCCCUGGGCAAAUCUCUUACCCUCUUCUGCUUAACUGCAGCAGGUGUUUUAUUGCCCCCUGCUCCUUAAUGUUUGUAAAUGAUUGUGAAUUCUCACAUUCUACAAUAGUGCUCUGAAAUGGCUGUUGUCAAUAUUAUGGUAAAAGUUGUGUCGGUUCAGGCAGAUUUUUCCUUUUUCCUUGUGUAUAAAUAGAAACCAGUAUCUCUGGCACUCUAAAUACUUACCACUCCAGCUAUUUUUGCUGAACUGAAAAUGCCACUGUUAAUUAUCUGUUGGCAGAUAGAUGUAUCUUUUGAACUGCAUGAAAUUCCAGUUAGUAUCUGCAUUGUGAUAUAUCUUUUGCAGUGCUAAAAUGUGUGUUAUGGACAAUUUUCUCAACAUAUCUGCACAUUUUUUCAGGGGUCUGUUGGCCCAUCAGGGAGACCAACAGUAGUAGCAGUGUGGAGAAUGAGACAUGAGUUAGACUCUUUAUCUCUUCUGUGCCUUUUUGGUAGACAGUCUUAUUCAAACAGAUGAAACAGAGCAAAUCUGUAACUGGAGGAGCAGGUGAAAAGAGACUGAUGCAUUGUUACCUGAGAAGGUUGUGCUCUUGCAUCCGUCAUCCCAUCGGGUAUCACAACAGCUUUGCAUCCUGGUAAUCCUGGCAAGUUGUUGUAAUCAGCAAUGAGGACAGCUUUGGGUAUGUUAUACACUAUGUAUGGGAUGUAUGGCAUUUUUCAAAGGUGUUUUAUUUCAAAAAUCUGUGAGCGGAUAUCAUAUAAAAUGAAAGCUAGAUUACUAGAUCCUGCAGAUAGGAGGUAAGGGCUACACUGGAAUUGGCUACUGAGCACUUUUGAGUCUGUCCCUUGUGAGUCUUGAGCAGAGUUCAGUAAUUUGUUUGUGCUAAUUUUGUUGUUCCUCUCACUUACUGAGUACUUAUUAUGGAGGUAGUAAGAGCUACAUGAAUCAUGAACAAGUACCUGUGAACUUUUAAAGUUGUAAAGUAAAUAAUGUAGCCUGAUUUUAUAUGCUUGUGCAUGUAUAUGUGCUACGUGUGCUCUGCUAUAGGGUAAAGAAA